rnacentral:rRNA from 1 species
UUAAGCGACUAAGCGUACACGGUGGAUGCCCUGGCAGUCAGAGGCGAUGAAGGACGUGCUAAUCUGCGAAAAGCGUCGGUAAGGUGAUAUGAACCGUUAUAACCGGCGAUGUCCGAAUGGGGAAACCCAGUGCAAUUCGUUGCACUAUCGUUAACUGAAUACAUAGGUUAACGAGGCGAACCGGGGGAACUGAAACAUCUAAGUACCCCGAGGAAAAGAAAUCAACCGAGAUUCCCCCAGUAGCGGCGAGCGAACGGGGAGCAGCCCAGAGUCUGAAUCAGCUUGUGUGUUAGUGGAACGGUCUGGAAAGUCCGACGGUACAGGGUGAUAGUCCCGUACACCAAAAUGCACAGGUUGUGAACUCGAAGAGUAGGGCGGGACACGUGGUAUCCUGUCUGAAUAUGGGGGGACCAUCCUCCAAGGCUAAAUACUCCUGACUGACCGAUAGUGAACCAGUACCGUGAGGGAAAGGCGAAAAGAACCCCGGCGAGGGGAGUGAAAAAGAACCUGAAACCGUGUACGUACAAGCAGUGGGAGCACCUUCGGGUGUGACUGCGUACCUUUUGUAUAAUGGGUCAGCGACUUAUAUUCUGUAGCAAGGUUAACCGUAUAGGGGAGCCGCAGGGAAACCGAGUCUUAACUGGGCGUUAAGUUGCAGGGUAUAGACCCGAAACCCGGUGAUCUAGCCAUGGGCAGGUUGAAGGUUGGGUAACACUAACUGGAGGACCGAACCGACUAAUGUUGAAAAAUUAGCGGAUGACUUGUGGCUGGGGGUGAAAGGCCAAUCAAACCGGGAGAUAGCUGGUUCUCCCCGAAAGCUAUUUAGGUAGCGCCUCGUGAACUCAUCUUCGGGGGUAGAGCACUGUUUCGGCUAGGGGGUCAUCCCGACUUACCAACCCGAUGCAAACUACGAAUACCGAAGAAUGUUAUCACGGGAGACACACGGCGGGUGCUAACGUCCGUCGUGAAGAGGGAAACAACCCAGACCGCCAGCUAAGGUCCCAAAGUCAUGGUUAAGUGGGAAACGAUGUGGGAAGGCACAGACAGCCAGGAUGUUGGCUUAGAAGCAGCCAUCAUUUAAAGAAAGCGUAAUAGCUCACUGGUCGAGUCGGCCUGCGCGGAAGAUGUAACGGGGCUAAACCAUGCACCGAAGCUGCGGCAGCGACACUAUGUGUUGUUGGGUAGGGGAGCGUUCUGUAAGCCUGCGAAGGUGACCUGUGAGGGUUGCUGGAGGUAUCAGAAGUGCGAAUGCUGACAUAAGUAACGAUAAAGCGGGUGAAAAGCCCGCUCGCCGGAAGACCAAGGGUUCCUGUCCAACGUUAAUCGGGGCAGGGUGAGUCGACCCCUAAGGCGAGGCCGAAAGGCGUAGUCGAUGGGAAACAGGUUAAUAUUCCUGUACUUGGUGUUACUGCGAAGGGGGGACGGAGAAGGCUAUGUUAGCCGGGCGACGGUUGUCCCGGUUUAAGCAUGUAGGCUGGUUGUCCAGGCAAAUCCGGAUAAUCAAGGCUGAGGUGUGAUGACGAGGCACUACGGUGCUGAAGUAACAAAUGCCCUGCUUCCAGGAAAAGCCUCUAAGCAUCAGGUAACAUCAAAUCGUACCCCAAACCGACACAGGUGGUCAGGUAGAGAAUACCAAGGCGCUUGAGAGAACUCGGGUGAAGGAACUAGGCAAAAUGGUGCCGUAACUUCGGGAGAAGGCACGCUGGUGUGUAGGUGAAGCCCCUGCGGGUGGAGCUGAGACCAGUCGAAGAUACCAGCUGGCUGCAACUGUUUAUUAAAAACACAGCACUGUGCAAACACGAAAGUGGACGUAUACGGUGUGACGCCUGCCCGGUGCCGGAAGGUUAAUUGAUGGGGUUAUCCGUAAGGAGAAGCUCUUGAUCGAAGCCCCGGUAAACGGCGGCCGUAACUAUAACGGUCCUAAGGUAGCGAAAUUCCUUGUCGGGUAAGUUCCGACCUGCACGAAUGGCGUAAUGAUGGCCAGGCUGUCUCCACCCGAGACUCAGUGAAAUUGAACUCGCUGUGAAGAUGCAGUGUACCCGCGGCAAGACGGAAAGACCCCGUGAACCUUUACUAUAGCUUGACACUGAACAUUGAGCCUUGAUGUGUAGGAUAGGUGGGAGGCUUUGAAGCGUGGACGCCAGUCUGCGUGGAGCCAACCUUGAAAUACCACCCUUUAAUGUUUGAUGUUCUAACGUUGGCCCCUUACCGGGGUUGCGGACAGUGUCUGGUGGGUAGUUUGACUGGGGCGGUCUCCUCCCAAAGCGUAACGGAGGAGCACGAAGGUUAGCUAAUCCUGGUCGGACAUCAGGAGGUUAGUGCAAUGGCAUAAGCUAGCUUGACUGCGAGCGUGACGGCGCGAGCAGGUGCGAAAGCAGGUCAUAGUGAUCCGGUGGUUCUGAAUGGAAGGGCCAUCGCUCAACGGAUAAAAGGUACUCCGGGGAUAACAGGCUGAUACCGCCCAAGAGUUCAUAUCGACGGCGGUGUUUGGCACCUCGAUGUCGGCUCAUCACAUCCUGGGGCUGAAGUAGGUCCCAAGGGUAUGGCUGUUCGCCAUUUAAAGUGGUACGCGAGCUGGGUUUAGAACGUCGUGAGACAGUUCGGUCCCUAUCUGCCGUGGGCGCUGGAGAAUUGAGGGGGGCUGCUCCUAGUACGAGAGGACCGGAGUGGACGCAUCACUGGUGUUCGGGUUGUCAUGCCAAUGGCACUGCCCGGUAGCUAAAUGCGGAAGAGAUAAGUGCUGAAAGCAUCUAAGCACGAAACUUGCCCCGAGAUGAGUUCUCCCUGAGACUUUAAGUCUCCUGAAGGAACGUUAAAGACGAUGACGUUGAUAGGCCGGGUGUGUAAGCGCAGCGAUGCGUUGAGCUAACCGGUACUAAUGAACCGUGAGGCUUAACCUU